rnacentral:tRNA from 1 species
GCUGAAAUGGCCCGGUUGGUAGAGCGGACUUUUGGUUAUGGUGAGGUCCCCAGUUCGACUCUGGGUAUCAGCACCA